AAAGUCUAACCUGCCCGAUGAAGGAAAUUUAAUGGCUGCGGUAUUAUGACCGUACAAAGGUAGCAUAAUAAUUAGUUUUUUAAUUGAAAACUGGUAUGAAUGGUUGAACGAGAAAAAAGCUGUCUCAAUUAUAAUUUUAAUUAGAAUUUUAUUUUUAAGUUAAAAAGCUUAAAUAAGUUUAAAAGACGAGAAGACCCUAUAGAGUUUUAUAUUUAAAGUUAUUUUAAAUUUUUAGUAUAAUUAUAUUUAUAAUAAUUUUUAAUAUUUAAUUGGGGUGAUUGAAAAAUUUAAUGAACUUUUUUAUUUUAAAGUCAUUGAUAUAUGUAUUUAUGAUCCA
rnacentral:rRNA from 1 species